UUCGCCGGAACCAAAAUUCGUAGGUCGCGACCACUGAGACGGCAGACUUUGAAUGUCGCACUUGGUUCUUGCACUUCCCCUCGGUGGAAAGUUCACGUUGAGCGUCUGGCGGGCGCUGGUGAGUGGAGUCUGAGUGGCUGAAAGUAUUGGACUUUAAGCCAGGGCCUCUAAAGAGAAUAAUCAGCACACUAUGGCAGGGAUUUUGUGUACAGUAGUUCAGAGGCCAUUAGGCAGACUACAGACUGUGACAAAAGGCGUGGAGUCUCUUGUUUGUACAGAUUGGAUUCGUCACAAAUUUACCAAGUCAAGAAUUCCAGAUAAAGUGUUUCAGCCUUCACCUGCAGAUCAUGAAAAGUAUGGUGGGGAUCCACAGAACCCCCAUAAACUGCAUAUUGUUACUAGAAUAAAAAGUACAAAAAGACGUCCAUACUGGGAAAAAGAUACAAUAAAGAUGCUUGGAUUAGAAAAAGCACAUACCCCUCAAGUUCACAAGAAUAUCCCUUCAGUGAAUACAAAACUGAAAGUGGUCAAACAUUUGAUAAGAAUCAAGCCCCUGAAGCUGCCACAAGGACUUCCAACAGAGGCAGACAUGUCUAACACGUGUCUCAAGAGCACUGGAGAAUUAGUAAUACAGUGGCACCUGAAACCUGUGGAGCAGAAAAGUUAAGUCCUGAUGCCAGAACAGCUUCAGAUUAAACAAUGCAAAUUGUUUUAAAAUGAUGAGAAUGUUGUCAUUAAAAUAGAUUUUAAAUACCAGUCAUUCUCGCUGAGUAAGCCUGCUGUGAUUCUUCCUUACUAUAGACUCUGAGAUUUUAGUUUAAAGUUUAAUUCUCUCCCUUUUCCCUUUUUUUUCUUUUUUGUUUUGUUUUGUUUGCAAUAGGGAGCUCUUACUCUGUCACCCAGGCUGGAAUUUAGUGGCAUCAACAUAGCUCACUAUGACUUCAAACUCCUGGACUUAAGCAGUCCUCUUACCCUAGCCUUUCAAGUAGCUGGGACAAAACCACAAAACCAAGCCAACAUUUUAAUUUUUUGUAUAGAGAUAAGGUCUUAUUGUACUGCCAAGGCUGGUCUAGAAUUCCUGGCCUCCUGUGAUCCUCCUGCCUGAGCCUCCCAAGGAGCUGGGAUUACAGGCAUGAACCACCAUGCCUGGCUCUUUUCCUUCUACAGUUUCACUCUAAAAUGGCAAAUAGCCCUCAGACAUCUAAGGGUAAUUAUUCCCAAGGGAGACAACAGCAUAGUGGUCCGCAUCUGGGACCUAGGUAAGCCAGGUCUGCAGACCUGACCAGCCCCGGGCCUGACAAGUGGCAACCCAGAUGGGACCCGGCAAGUUGUGACUACGAAGGGACCCAAUAAAGUUUCCCCACACUCUCCUAAGAUUUAUUAUGGAAAGAGUGAUCUUCUGGGUCUCUUUCUAGGUCAGUCUAAUCAGUUUUUACAUACAGGAUGUGGCACCUGCGGUUAAAAUCGUAUGUGUGCAAGAUAUGGGAUCCCAUAACCCUAGGUCAUAGGCACCCAAAAGAAUUCUAAAUUCUUCUAUGAAUAGUUGCUGGUAUUAUCUUGGUUUAGAAAAAUCCUUAAUUUAGCUCAGUUCCAAGUUUUAGAUUCUACAUUUGUCUGCAGACCUGGCUCAUCUAGGGAGUUUGAGCAAUAGGAAGAGGAGGGAGGUGUCAGUCAGUAGAGGUAGAGAAAAAGAGUAGAAGGAUAAGGGGAAGAGGGGGAGCUGGAUGUGGGCAAGUCACUGGAGGAUAAGAGGAGGGGAAUUUACUGGAGCGAUGAAUCCAUUUGUUAAGUUUGUCAAAUUGUUCAUUACCUUUGGCUAAACAAUCUUUUAGUGUAACAAUUUUUGAAUCAGACACUUGGAGUCCCUUGCAUACCAAUUUAAAAAAAUUUCUUCCCAUAAAGUGAGAGAAAUCUUAUUCCUUUUUUCCCUAAGAUGCCUCUCAAAUGAACAAUUUUCAAGUGAAAUUUCUCCAGAGUGUCAUUGAAAGCUCAAAUCAUCCUUGGUGAAAUUAUGCCAGUUAGAGAGUGAGGCCUGAGAUUAAGAUUGUGAUGUGUGUGCAAAUAAGAAGUAGCAGUUUUUCCUGGAGGAGGAGAGGAUUUAGAUUUAGACAAUCCCAUGAGAAGUGGCAAUAGUCCAAAGUGAUGCCUGUGCACUUCAUAUAUCAGGUUCCUAUUUAGCAGGUUGGAUACCUCCAAAUGCAGACCUGACAAUCUGUAUUCCCCAGGUAGCCAGAAAAUCAGAGAUUUCUCCUGAAUCUUUGUCUGUCUGUAGUCAGUUCUCACUUUGGGGGUUUGGACUGCUUAGAGUUUAUGCUGGGGACUACUAGAGGAAAAAAAUAAUGGUAAACUCACCAACAGUUUGAUAGCAUUAUCAUAUCAAAUUCUGGUGUUCUUCCCUGAUAAUCCUGCUGAUAUUUAUAUUUUGGAGUUUUUAAACAGCUGCUUAUGCAUCUAUCCAGGUUUUGCAGUUGUUUUCAGAGGAGGAGAAAAUUUGGCAUUUGUUUACUCCACCUUAUGUAGCACUGAAUCCUUCACCUAAUGUCAUAUGGUCAAAAUAUGUAAAGAAAAAAUAUCAGGACUAAAAGAGGAAACAGAAAAUUUUUAUAAUUAUAAUUGGAAAACUUAAUACUCUCCUAUCAAAAAGUAUUAGAGAGUUCUCCCUCUCCCAACAUGGCGACCUAAGCAAAAAAAGGAGGAGGAGGAGGAG